CAUCCGUUUGACUCACAGUUUGGUACCAUAGGUUGGUACGAUCUUCAUUGGAGAAGGAAAAGGGAUUCCAGAUACAGAAAAUAGUCAAACCAUUUACUACAAAGUCCGUUUCUGGGUGGAGUUAGUGGAACCGAAAAAGAUGUCUCCCUCACAGCGUUUGUGACAAAAGAAUUGCAUUGUUCCUUGGCGGCCUUUCAACAGAAGAAUAUUCAGAGAUUUCACGAGUGGUGCCUAUUUUUCCCAAACAAAAGGACCCAUCACUGAGCGGGAAGUAUGGAGAAUGUUAUAGACAUCAGUGGUGAGAUAAUGCUGGAUCUUGACCAGCAAAACCAUUGUUGUGUUGGUGAAAUGCAAACAAAAAUCUAUAUGAUGUAAACUUUAUUCUCA